AAAUGCAAGGCAGUGUGAUGACCACCUUCUCCCUGAGACCAAGGCAGUGCAACGGGAGCUGCCUUCUCGCAUCAGCAGCAUCACAGCGGCCAUGUAUUUCUUGGAGGCGUCGGCAGCAGAAGCACACGCUGCAACGCCAGCAAAUGCAACAGCGUUCAGUGGCAACAGUACAUCAUGAUAAUCUUGAGGUUGACGAUCGCUUGAGCAAGAACCCAUGCAAUUUUCAACCUUCUAUAUGGGGAGAUUUCUUCCUGCGCUAUUCCGACCCAGCAGCUUCCUCCAAGCAACAGGUUCAUCGAUUUUCAUCUCUUUUUAAACGUAUAUAGACUCACUAUAUCUUGUUUUCUUUAAAGAUUUAUUAUUGGGGCUGAAAGCCUGUUUUUCUAAAAAAAUAGUGAGCAGAGUUAUCUAUCCCUGCGGCCCUAGUCGCUUUAUAUGUUCAAAUUAUUUCAGUCCCUACGUCCUACCCUCUGCAUCUACAGGCAACUCGCAGCAGGUUUCAAUCACUAUGUAAGCUAGCGAUGCUCUUUUACUGCUACGAUAAUGGUCGGCAUUCUCAACAAUCCCUUCUGAAAUCCCAUAACCAGCAGGACCACAUUAUUAUCCUCGCCUUUCUACAUGCAUGGUUCCUUGCGAAUCGUCCAAACUCAAGUUACCUCAGAUAAUACUACUCAUAGCACCAUUAACUGCAAAAUUAUGUCUGUUUUUGUCUCUUUUUUCCUUCUUUUGACAAGUUUGAUUGCAAGUGAAAUUUCCCUAAUGGAUAAGUUUUUGCUUCACAUAACCAUAAAAAUAUGAAGAUUCGUUUGAUCUCACCCUCUAUUACCAAAUAGAUGUUCCGAACACAUGCAACUCAACAUGUGAAAUUUUCGCGCUUCUGUUAAUAUGCAUAAAAGUAUCUAGAUUCUUUUAGUUUUGUAUAAUAAAAGUAUAUAGUGAACAGAAAGUUGGACAUAUCAAGUGACAGUCAGACAACUGUAAAAUCGAACUGUUCAAUAGGCGCUCGUGGACAUGGUUCCAAUGUUUGAAGUGAUUAGUACAGUAGAGGUAGCAUCAAAAUAUACUGAAUAUGUUCAAUUCAUUUUUUAGAAUGAUUUUUGAUCAAUAAUAAUAUUACCAACAUUAAAAGAGGACAGUAUUAUUGGAGGGCACCAAUCUUGGCGUCUGCCCAUGCUGCCAGGAAUCCCAACCUUGGCGUACGUUGGCUAUUCUGGAGCAGGUGUUCAGUGUUCUCAGUCUUCUGGCUGAUUCCGAAAGGGGGCCAUAUCGGUGUCCUUUCCAAAUUAUUGCUAACUCGGGUCCCAUGUGUGCAAGACUGUUCUGUUAGUGAUGUAGAUUCUGUGCACCAACUUCCAAUUGGGACAACUCAAAAUAUUUUCAUGACUGAUGCAACUAAUAAUAUUGUAUCCUAUCUAAAAUAAUUAUUGAUAAAUACUGUCUUCGCUUAGUCUAUAUAUAUGAGCUCAGUUUAAAUACUGCUUUCGGCAGAUUUGGAUGGCAGAACGAGCAGAUAAAAUGAAGGAAGCCGUGGCAAAGAUGAUAGCAAGUUCAGUUGCUUGGGACCUUCAUCCGAGACUACAACUCAUCGAUGCAUUGGAGCGCCUGUGCCUGGUUCAUCUGUUCGAAGAUGACAUCAAUGCUGCAUUGGCUCAAAUUAAGACUGCCAAUGUUACUGGAUGUGAUCUUCACACGGUAGCUCUGUGGUUUUAUCUGCUCCGUAAGCACGGAUACAGAGUGUCUCCAGGUAAGAUUUACAUAUAUGGAUCGAGAGUGUUUCAAGCAGUUGUGUUGAAGCUAGGAUGAUAUUGGACUAAUGUAUCUGUGUUAAAUAGUACGAAGUAGAUAAUCAUCUCCACAUCGAAGAAAACACAGAACAUCACCCAAAUCAAUAAAUUUAUAUAGAAUAAAUCUUAAUGGGUAGGAUGAAUGAAACAAAUUAUAUUACCCCUUCCCAUCACAAAAAGUUAAGUGCAAGGUUCUAGUAGGUUGUUUGCAAGAAAACUAUCAUGACUUUUGCCACAUAUACUUUUUUGUAUAUAGUAAUUGAGCAUUCAAAGAUAGCAUUCGUAUUAAGCAAAGUAGGUUGUUUUAUGACUAGAUGGAGUACUUCUCAUACUUCCUAGUUCCAAACAAAACACGCUGAAUUGGUAAAGAUGGGGUCAGAUUACUUAAAUUGUUAUUUUCUCCAUUUCCUUUAAUAUUAUAUUCAUCAAUUAUUAAUUCCAAUGCCAAGGUGUGUUAUAUAUGUAGCAAUGAUUCCUUUUUAAAAGCUUCACCACAUGAUAGGAGUUGAUUUGUUACAUCUUUCUCUCUCCAUCUACCAGUGUAAAUCAUAUUUUGAAAUAUAUUGAAGAUUUGGUUCCAUUACUAUUUUUUACCUUAACAUUAUCUUAUAUUUACAGAUUGUUGCCAAUUGCUAAAAAAAUCAACAUUAUCAUAAAUUAAUUCAAAUAUGAAUCUAUUGAUGAACUUUUAUACCGCAAAAAUGAAUAUAUUUUGAAUAAUUCUUGGUCAAAGUUUACAAAGUUUUGACUUUCUCAAAACAGAAUAUGUCUUAUAUUGAUGGAUUGAGGGAAUACUAAUUUUGCAAAUACCAUUUCAUGAAUUUGUUGUGGUAUUUUCAGACAUAUUUGUGAGGUUUAAAGAUCAAGAUGGAAGUUUUUUUGCGAACAAUCCUGUGGAACUAUUGAGUCUUUACAACGCUGCUCACCUCGGAACCCAUGGAGAGACAAUACUUGAUGAAGCCAUAGUUUUUACAAGAACGCAUUUAGAGACAAUAUUUCCCUCUCUGGAAGGAUCAUUAGCACAUGAAGUCAAAUGUGCACUUGAGAUUCCCCUCCCAAGAAGGGUCAGAAUUUAUGAGUCAAAGUAUUAUAUCUCCACAUAUGAGAAAGAGGCUACAGUACAUGAAUCAGUACUGCAACUUGCAAAGCUAAACUCUAAUAUUAUGCAAUUGCAUCAUCAACAAGAAUUGGAACUCAUUACAAGGUGAAGUAAUGCUAUUAUUUGAAAUUUACUCCAUAUUACCAUUUCAUUGUUACUAGUUAAUCUGGUAAAUAUAGAUUCGUAUGUAGUUUAAUUAUAUAUUUUUAAUUGAGUUUUUAAACACCUCUACUAAUGAUUUUUUUCAAAAUUAUACAGAUGGUGGAAGGAUCUAGAGAUUGAAUCAAAGCUUCCAUUUGCCCGAGAUAGAGUUGUUGAGUGCUAUUUUUGGAUAUUAGGAGUAUAUUUCGAACCAUGCUACUCACGAGGCCGGAUAAUAUUGACAAUGGUGAUUUCUAUUGCCACCAUAUUUGAUGAUAUGUUUGAUUCCUACGGAACUGUAGAAGAGUGCGAGUUACUCACCAACUGCAUAGAAAGGUUUGUGCCAGCUUGCUUGCGUCUAUAUAAUCGUCAAAAGUUUGCAUGUGCAAUAUAUAAUUACGCAUGAGUCAAAGUGUCAAACACCAUAAAGGGUACAUAUUUGGUAGCACUCUUUUGUUGUUAUAUGGACACAUGUAGCAUUCACAUAUAUGUUUGUUGGGAAAUAAUAAUGUGCAGAUGGGAUAGAAAAUUGGCUGACGAUCUCCCAGAGUGCAUGAAGCAUGCGCUUGGGAAAAUUUUGGAUAGCUAUGAAACCAUGGACAAUGAGCUGGCGCAGGAGGAGAAAUAUCGCAUGCCCUAUCUGAAAAACUUCGUAAGUUACAUUUCUUUUAUUUUUAUUUAACCUAUAUAUCUUAAUCUAAAAAGUAUAAAAAAUAAGAAUAUAUAGUUGCAUACCACAUAUGUAUACUUAUAGUUGCUUUUAAUUAGUAGUUUUUUUAGAGAAGCUUUUAGUAGAGUAUUUUGUAGUGUGUGCAGGGAAUAGAUUCGUUGGUGUGUGAUUGUGCCCUGUGCCUGUGUGCGCAGGCGGCACCUUUGCUAUCACAAAAAAAAAAGUAGUAUGUAGGUAUUAGUUACCUAUAGUGAAAGACUCCUUUUGAUUUUAUUUUCUUAAUACUUACAUUUGUGAACUUUACCAUGUACUAACUGGCAUCGAUCUGCAGACAAUAGAUCUGGUCAGAGGCUACAAUGCCGAGGUAAAAAUGCGUGAAGAAGGAUACAUCCCGAGAACUGUAAAUGAGCACCUACAAGUUUCGUUAAGGACUGGUGCAUGUCACCUGUUGGCGUGCGCUUCCUUCGUUGGAAUGGACGAGAUAGCAACAAAGGACUCUUUUGAUUGGGUCUCUACCAUGCCUAAAAUCGUAAAAGCACUUUGCAUAAUUUUGAGACUAUUGGACGAUCUACAGACAUAUGAGGUAAUGUUAAUGUCUCAAACCUUAGCUAAAACUUCUGAGCUUUGAAGCCUGAUGUAUAUUUCGCAGCAUGGCUCUGUGCUCUAGCAAGUGCAUGCUGAUGACAUUCUCAAACAAUAUGGAUACAUGCAGUUUCAUUAAAAAACAUAUGGAUACAUGCAUUACUGCUUCACAUUUUAUAACCACCCUUUCUUUUACCAAAAUUGUACUGAGUUUUAUAUGGCAUUAAUAAUUUGUCCAUGCAGCGAGAGCAAUUGCACCCUCAUGUUGCUUCAACCAUCAAAAGCUACAUGAAAGAGCACAACGUCUCAAUUGAAAUUGCACGCAAGAAGAUAGAGGAACUGAAAGAGGAGACGUGGAAAGAUUUUAACGGCGAGUGGCUGAAUCCUGAUAAUGCAGUGCCUAGUUCGCUAUUGGAGAGGAUAUUCAAUUUGACCAGGACGAUGGAGUUCAUCUACAACCUGGAUGAUAAUUUCACGAACUGUCAGAACCUCAGAGAUACCAUCCACUUGUUGUUUGUGGAGCCCUUUCCUAUCUCCUAGUGCAAAUAAUUCCAACAAAUAAACAGUGUGUCGCCCAGUGCCAGAUGCCCAUGUCCACAUGCACCAUAUUCUUUGUACAAGUUUGUGAUUUGAGCUACUAGCUACUGUUCGUUUGGUGUUUAUUUGUAUUUGGAAGUAUUGCCUUGAUUUCAGUCACCGUGAUGAUUUUUUAAUGUACCUUGGGCCAAAGUGACAACCAGUCACAUUUUACUCAAAAAAAAAAAGAUA
rnacentral:lncRNA from 1 species